AUGGUUUCCCCAAAUUAUUCCUCCUCUGCAAGGAUGGCGUGGGUGCGUGGGGAGGCUGCGCGGCAGGGGGCUGGGGGGGCUCUGCAGCAGCACAGGGAGCACCCACAUGGGCACAGCAGGGACGGUCCCGCCGUGUUCAUGGUAGGACAGACACCGUGUGACACAGCAGCCCCGUCUGGGCGCUCAGGCAGAACUCAGCAGGGCCCCAGGAGGAGGCUGAGUCCUGAGGGCUGCGAGGUGUGUGUGGGGGCUGUGUCUGUGCCUCAGGGUGCACUGUCACACUGUCACAUGCCCCAGCACCACGUCCCCUCUGCAGGGAGAGGAUUUUGCCCCCACCCACUCUCCUGCCUCCUGCCGGUAGGUGCCAGCAGCCCCGUUCUGUCCCCAGCCCUGCUGCAUCCCCCAAGGAUGCCACCAUUAGCUGGCAGCAUUUUGGAGCUGCAGAUACUCUCUGCGUGGGGCCUGUAUGAGGCCCACGGCACCCUCUGGGGGCACAGCAAACCUGCCACCUGCAUCCCACUGCAUCCUCUCCAAGGGAGGGCCCUGGUGGUUUGUCACAGACCCCAAUAUCGCUGCUGCUGGGAGGCAGCUCUGCCCUGUGUGUGCCACCAGCACUGUGCCCACAGCUGUGGCCCCACACGGCACCAAGGGGCCCAGCAGUGCCUUCCCAGCAGUGUGCAGGGAGCAGCACGAGGGCGUUUGGGGCCAGCUGAGACCCCGGGCUGCAGGAGGGGCCCUGGGGAGGCUCCAGAAAUUGGGUCACUCCUUGCACGUGGCACGGGCUGUUGGUUCAAGGGCUGCAUGGUGCCACUGCCCCCAACCUGCUCUGCCCCCAGCCUGUCCUGUGCCCACGCUGGGCUCGGCACUGAGCGCUGCCCUUCAGCCCACCCAGCUCAGCUGCGCGCUGCCCCCAGCACGUUGCCAGCCCAUGGGCAUUGCUGCACCCCGCGUCCAUCACACCACGGGCGGCCCAGGCGUUCUGCCUGUAGUGCGCUGCCAGCACAGCCCCCGCCUGAGCCGCCCGCACGCUGCCUACAUGCACCGCACCGAGCACGCUGCUGCUGCAGCACUGCACUCACAGCACAGUCACGCUGCCGCUGCAUCCUGCACUGCACUGAGCCGGCUGCCACUGCACUGCCCUGCGGCCUUGGGCACGCUGCAUGUGUGUGUGCCCUCUGCACUGCAAGCACCGUGCUUGUGCAAGGCGUGCUGCAUGCUGCACUUGCAGCACAGGCCUGGGUGCUCUGUGCAGGGACCUGCCGGGUCAUGAUGGUGUCCCCUCCCCGUGUGCCCCGGCCCGUUCUCCCCUUUAAGGCCGGUGCUCGGGGCUCCCCGCCCCGAGGGGCACCUGCAGAUGGAUACAGACGGGCAGCCCGGUGCGGCAGGGCACCGUGCCGGGUGGCAUCGCCAGGACUGCUGUCAGACCCCGUUACCUGCCCGGAAUGCAGCGGGGCGAGGGGACACGGCCGGGAAAGCAGAGCUGCCGGUCCCGGGGCGGUGGCCCAGCGCUGCGCACCGGCACCGGGUGACACUGGGCCCGCUGGGCCGCGCCGGGUGCUGAGCCGGGCCCGGGGAUAG
rnacentral:lncRNA from 1 species